rnacentral:rRNA from 1 species
GACGAACCGUGCGAACGUUAUUCGGAAUCACUGGGCUUAAAGCGCGUGUAGGCGGAUGGGAACGUCGGUCGUUGAAAGCCCCCGGCUCAACCGGGGAACUGGCACCGAAACGACCCGUCUGGAGGGGCAUAGGGGGAUCUGGAACUUCCGGUGGAGCGGUGAAAUGCGUUGAGAUCGGAAGGAACGCCCGUGGCGAAAGCGAGAUCCUGGAUGUCUUCUGACGCUGAGACGCGAAAGCUAGGGUAGCGAACGGG